CCUACGGGUGGCAGCAGUGAGGAAUAUUGGUCAAUGGACGCGAGCCUGAACCAGCCAAGUCGCGUGAGGGAAGACUGUCCUAUGGAUUGUAAACCUCUUUUAUCGGGGAGCAAAAUGCGCCACGCGUGGGGUUCCGCAUGUACCCUAUGAAAAAGCAUCGGCUAACUCCGUGCCAGCAGCCGCGGUAAUACGGAGGAUCCGAGCGUUAUCCGGAUUUAUUGGGUUUAAAGGGGGCGCAGGCGGAAGAUAAAGUCAGCGGUAAAAUUUAGCGGCUCAACCUAAUCGAGCCGUUGAAACUGGUAGUCUUGAGUGAGCGAGGAGUAGGCGGAAUGCGUGGUGUAGCGGUGAAAUGCAUAGAUAUCACGAAGAACUCCGAUUGCGAAGGCAGCAUACCGGAGCGCAACUGACGCUGAUGCACGAAAGUGUGGGUAUCGAACAGGAUUAGAUACCCUGGUAGUC
rnacentral:rRNA from 1 species